rnacentral:lncRNA from 1 species
AUGUCCAAAAGCUUGCUAAAAUGCUUGGGAGUUUGUGUACAGGCAUGUGAGAUUAGGAUACAUUGGCAGAAUCGCGGUGUUCUCUGUUAUCCUGGUUUUGCCACCUGGGAGGAGUUACACAUAUUGAAGGACGCAAGGAUUGAGAACAAUGGACUUUUUGAUGUGUGUUGCAACAAACGCAUAGCCGAGGGUUGUAAAUCGGAGGGAUCACCAGGUCUGCCUACCAGCCACCAGGCAAGUGGGGAGAAGCUGUCACCCCAACUUGAGUUUCAAGAAGACUCCUUGGAAGAAAAGACCACCAAAUUGAGAAUGAAAAGGACAGUAAGUUGUAGCUAUUCUUGAGAUGGGGCAGUGGCUCCAUGCUCUGGCCCCCGACCUCAGCAGCUGUCCCAGCUCAUCACCCUGAGUGCCAGCUUUCCCAUCUCAUCUCAGGAUCUGCACUGGACGGCACCAGGGCUUUCUUCAGCGAACAUCUAAACUCUCUCAAGUGUCUCCAGAGACUUUCACAUGUCUACAAAGAUGACCUCAUUCUGUAACAGCAUGGAUUUAACUUGCUCUUCGAUGUCACUCCUUCACAGAGUGCACUGUUCAUCGUCACCCUAUCCGCUAGCGUCAGUCUUACUAAAAGUCAAACAUCAAUGUUAGUGGUAACUCUGGAGGCCUGGCAUUGUAGUGAUAUCCCCAAGAGAAAAUUGUUUUGAACCUUUCUGGGAAAAGUUCAUGUACCUUUUAUUCAAACGCUAGUUUUUAUAAUCUCGCUACCAUGUGGCUUUCCUGAAGGAUGAAAUUUCUAAUGUCCUUCAGGUAGAGAGAGGUAAAAAGUAUUCUAGAACAUUAAUUGCCCACUCCUCUCAUCCCUUCUCAGAAACUAACUGAAUUCCAGUGGGUGUGCCUGGCAAACCCAAACACGGUUUUCCGUUCAGGAUGCUGGUCUUACCUGUGAAGGCGUUCAUGAACGUGGAGAGGUACCGGUUCAACAUUUUGAAGAAAGGGUCUCUGCAUGGGUAUUUCCGAGACCCACAAAGGAUGGUAUGCUCAAGAAUGUGAGGAACAUCGGUACUGUCCACGGGAGUGGUGCGGAACUGCACGCUAGGGAAGAAGGAACUGCACGCCAGGGAAGGGGGAGGAACAAGGAACAGAAGGCCAGCGACGGGGAGAAACAGAACGCUAGGGAAGGAGAAUGACUAGAAUACAAAACGUUCAUCUUAGUGCUGUGGACACAGUUCCCAGACGCAUCAUCACCUCGGGCUACUAGAAAUCAUUCUGACACCACAAUCCUCCAACCCAGGGUUUCCCAACUGUAAUGUAAAUCAUUGAUUCAGACUAUAAAAUUAUAUUUUGAUGAGAUUGUAAGUCCGUGUAAGCUUUUCCUUAUUUUUCAAGAUGCUCUGUCAAUAAAAAUACUAGUGAGAUGAUAUUUCAACCACGUAACAUACAGUCAGUGCUUUAAACCAAGCUUGUCUAACCCACAGCCUGCAGUCCGCAUGCUCAGGAUGGCUUGGAAUGCAUCCCAACACAAUCCCUACACUUUCUUAAAACAUUGAGGUCCUCUAUUUAUUUUUUUUUAGCUCAUCAACUGUCCUUAGUGUUAGUGUAUUUAGUGUGUGGCCUAAGACAGUUGUUCUUCUAAUGUGGCACAGGGAAGCCAAAAGAUUGGACAUCCUUGAUUUAAAUAAAACAUUCAAGACCAUGUUCUUACAAUGCACCACGUACCUGAACAGAUUGUUCGUGUCUUCUCUGGCCAGGUGUAAAUACCUGGCUCCUCUGUCAUCGUGGCUGAGCUUCAUGGCCGUCAGGAACAGCUCGGGAACAGAUGUCACCUGAGUUAACCAGAAAAACACGAGCAGUUAAAUGUAGACAAAAUAGCCGUGAAAUGGUGAUCUUCGACACACUGAGAAAACUGGCUUUUCUGCCUGAAAUUAGAUGAUACCGGGAAGCCAGUAUUUCAGAGCUGCAGAGAACAGAACCGUCCUGUCCAAGUCCCUUAUCCUACAAACAAGGAAAGUAAGACCUAAAGAAGGCAAAUGAGAAUGUGUGUGUAUAAAUGUAUAUUUUUGAGUGCUUAUUACUGGCUAGGUAUUUUCCAUUUUUUUUAUUUUUAAAUUUUUUAUUCUGUUUUGGCUAGGCAUUUUCUAAUCAUGUCACAUAGAAUCCUGUGAGGGAGGUAGUCUCAUCCUCAUUUACAGAUGAAAAAACUGAGGCUCAGGGUGAUGAAACAAGCUGCCCGAAUCAGAGCCAGGAUUCACCCUGGUGUCUGCCCUUCCCACGGUACUGUGCUGCACCUAAAUAACACAGCACCCUUUCCAACGCCUGCUGAGUGCCUCCUGCUUUUGUGUACUGCACCUCAGUAACACAGCACCCCUUCCAACAUCGGCUGUGUGCCUCCUGUUUCUGUGCAUAUAAUCUCCUGUAGUGCGAAGCACGGGCCUGCAGGAGGGGCAAUGCUGGAGUGGGCUACCGGCGACAGUGGGGAGAGGGUCCAGGAUCAGCCUUGCUUCUCCUAGUUUGGGAUGGAUUCUCGGUGGUAGCUGUAAGCACAAAGCUGGGGCUUCCAGAAGAGCUGGAGGGGCUGGGAGGAUAGAAAUGCCCCCCAAAAAGAUGAAAGACUCCCCACUCCUGGGGCAGGGUGGAAGGUCUUCUCCUACCUUAGGCAAGCCUCCUGGUAAGUGUCCAUACUCUUUGGUAUGAAAGAAACUGUCUUCUCUUCCAGUCAUGCCAGCCGACCCAGCCCUCUCCCUCAAUCACAUACCAUGUCCCUGUGAUCACCACAACACGUGCCACCCCCUCCGUCCAGGUGCCAUGAGUCACCUGGCCAAGCGCACACAGCAAGUCGCUGGCAGAGGUGAGACCUCGGGUCUCCUCAGCCCAAUCUAGGGAGCCUGCCAUCCAACAGUCAUGCAUAAAGCGGCCCACUAUGACCUGCAUCAUCUACCGCUGUUAAAUUACUUGUUUCCAAGCUUACCGUACUUUGUAUCAGAUGAUCAAUGCAUUUAAAAUCAGCAGAUACAGUGAGAUGUCUGCUUUCUAAUAAUAUAUAGCUUUAAUAAUAAUAGCGUUCAUGGUAGCUAUUUCUCAAACAAGAAACAUGACUUAUCGUAAGUUUCUAUGGCUGGACACAGUGGCUCACACCUUUAAUCCCAGCACUUUGGAAGGCCAAGGUGAUAUGGUUUGGCCUCGUCCCCACCCAAAUCUCAUCUUGAAUUGUAGUUCCCAUAAUCUCCACAUGUUGUGGGAGGGACCUGGUAGGAGGUAAUUGAAUCAUUAGGGGGGUUCCCCCAUGUUAUUCUCAUGACAGUGAGUAUGUUCUCACGAGAUCUGAUGGUUUUAUAAGGGGCUUCCCCCUUCACUUGUCAUUCUCUUCCAUACCACCCUGUGAAGAGGUGCCUUCCACCAUGAUUGUAAGUUUCCUGAGGCCUCCCCAGCCAUGCAGAACUGUGAGUCAAUUAAACCUCUUUACUUUUUAGCUCAUUCAUUAUAAAUUAUCCAGUCUUGGGUAUUUCUUCAUAGCAGUGUGAGAUUAGACUAAUACACAAGACAAGAGGAUUGCCUGAACUCAGGAGUUUGAGACCAGCCUAGACAACAAAGUUUCC